rnacentral:sRNA from 1 species
UACAAUAAAUCUCAGAUGGGACAUUAC